UCGCUCCUACCGAUUGAAUGAUCCGGUGAAAUCUCCGGACCGUCGCAUGCAUCGGGGUUUCUCGAAGCGUGCUUCUGGGAAGUUGAUUAAACCUUAUCAUUUAGAGGAAGGAG
rnacentral:rRNA from 1 species